AAAAAAAAUUCGACGAAAAAUUCCAAUAUUACUAUCGUAAUCCUGGACUAUACUUUUAUUAUCUGUAACAUUCAAAUAUAUGAUACGAAAAUUUACAGUUUUUAAAAGAUUUUUUACUAUUCACUAUCGUAAUUUCAUUAAGAGUUUAUUGUAAUCAAUUCAAUAAGAAAUAUUACAAUGUUACUAUCGUAAAUAGUAAAAGAAUAAAAAAUAAGAUUUAAUUAUACUAUUUAUUCUUUUAUUCUUCCUUUUAAUUUACAGUGCUGCCUCUAUGUUUUUACAAUACAAGCUACAAAAAUUACGAUAGUUGGAUUGUAAAUUUUCUGAAAUGGUAUAGUAUAUGCCAUCUGAAGCGUUUACGUAUGAAAGACAAGUGUUGUCACAAACCAUGAUGUGAUGCUUGUAUGAGUGUAUAUAUAUAUAUAAAUACAAAUGAUGACAUCUACUUUGUCUGUAUUAUUUGUGGUUCAACUAUAUAUAUUUAUAAAUCAGUUCAUCUUUAUCCACAGUGUAGUGCAGAAAUAGAGGUUAUUAUUCAUGACGUUUUUCGGACAAUUGUAAAUAAGAAAUUUAAAAUAAAAACUGUACUUUCGUCAUUACAAACCUACAUAGAUUGUGGAAUAUAAUAAUUUGGUGGUGAUAAUCUUCAUUUGUCGACAAUGAAUAAUUUUACCCGGCUUUGCGAGAGGUAAAACAUUUCAAUAACCUCAAAUUAUGGACAUUCAACAUUUCUUUAUGAUACUGAAGUUAGCAGACGCCUAAUAAUUUUUGGAUUUUUUUAAAAAUGAUAAAUUAUAGAAAAAAAGUAUUCGAAAAAAUUGCACCUAUGGUUUUUUUAAUUUUCUACAUGUGCGUAUUUUGAAUACAAAUAAAUGAGUUAUUUAUUCAUAAAUUUUAUAUAUACCAAAAAAAUAUGUUUGAAAAAAUAUUAAAUAAAUGUUUUAUUAUUACUACUUCAA